UACGGAGGGGGCUAGCGUUGUCCGGAAUUACUGGGCGUAAAGAGCUCGUAGGUGGUUUGUCGCGUUGUUCGUGAAAACUCACAGCUCAACUGUGGGCGUGCGGGCGAUACGGGCAGACUUGAGUACUGCAGGGGAGACUGGAAUUCCUGGUGUAGCGGUGGAAUGCGCAGAUAUCAGGAGGAACACCGGUGGCGAAGGCGGGUCUCUGGGCCGAUACUGACGCUGAGGAGCGAAAGCGUGGGGAGCGAACAGG
rnacentral:rRNA from 1 species